GGUUAAGUCCCGCAACGAGCGCAACCCUUGUCAUUAGUUGCUACAUUCAGUUGGGCACUCUAAUGAGACUGCCGGUGACAAGCCGGAGGAAGGUGGGGAUGACGUCAAGUCCUCAUGGCCCUUAUAGGUAGGGGCUACACACGUCAUACAAUGGCUGGUACAAAGGGUUGCCAACCCGCGAGGGGGAGCCAAUCCCAUAAAGCCAGUCGUAGUCCGGAUCGUAGUCUGCAACUCGACUACGUGAAGUCGGAAUCGCUAGUAAUCGUGGAUCAGAAUGUCACGGUGAAUACGUUACCGGGUCUU
rnacentral:rRNA from 1 species